GAUGAACGCUGGCGGCGUGCCUAAUACAUGCAAGUCGAGCGAACAGACGAGGAGCUUGCUCCUCUGACGUUAGCGGCGGACGGGUGAGUAACACGUGGAUAACCUACCUAUAAGACUGGGAUAACUUCGGGAAACCGGAGCUAAUACCGGAUAAUAUAUUGAACCGCAUGGUUCAAUAGUGAAAGACGGUUUUGCUGUCACUUAUAGAUGGAUCCGCGCCGCAUUAGCUAGUUGGUAAGGUAACGGCUUACCAAGGCAACGAUGCGUAGCCGACCUGAGAGGGUGAUCGGCCACACUGGAACUGAGACACGGUCCAGACUCCUACGGGAGGCAGAAGUAGGGAAUCUUCCGCAAUGGGCGAAAGCCUGACGGAGCAACGCCGCGUGAGUGAUGAAGGUCUUCGGAUCGUAAAACUCUGUUAUUAGGGGAGAACAAAUGUGUAAGUAACUAUGCACGUCUUGACGGUACCUAAUCAGAAAGCCACGGCUAACUACGUG
rnacentral:rRNA from 1 species